CAAGAGGUUAAAAUAAUCGUAGAACUCAACAAACUUCAAUUGUUUAUAACUUAAUAACUAAGCUUUAAUCAACAUUUUUGUAUAUUAACUUUUGUGUUUGCUUUGGCCUCUAGAAUCAACUCCAAAGAUGUCUCACGAAUACAACUCGUGUAUUGUUCAAGUUCUAAUCAAGUUUCGAUUGCAAUCUGAUCUUCGUUUUGAAAUUGACAAUAACAAGUUGGAGAAUGUUCGUAUAUUAAUCAGAUAGCUGGGGAUUAAGAUAAGAAAGUGUGGAAUCGAGUCAAUGGUUGCACAAAUUAUCGUUAUCAUAACAAAUUAUCAUUUGGCAUUAACUCUAUUAUAAACAAUUUUAAUUCUUUUUCUGAUAAUUAAUGAGUAAAUGUCGAAUCGUCGAGUUGGUUAACAGUAGCUAACGUCUCGUUUAUAGAAUUUUAGUGAAAAUUCCAGGGGAUUAAUUAUUCCAGAGGAGCAGGGCCGUGCACGUCGCCCCUGGGCCCCCUCACGUGGACAGCCGGUUAUAAAUGGUCGGUCGUAAAAGUUGUGCGUGUCGUUGCGAGACGGAGGGAACAAGAAGGAACAUUCGAUGAGAGACGAGGGUUCGAAACACUCCGUGCACCGCAUUAUGGUAGGCAAAAAAGCGCGGGAGAUGCACCAACCGCUUGCAAAGAAGAAACUGUUUCGGUAGUCGGUGAACAAUCGAUUAUAUUCUCGGAAUCGUUUCGAAUGCACUUACUUAAAAUGCUUAGAGAAAUUACUCUUUUUUCUUUUUUCUUUUGAAAAUUACUCAAUCCUUGUUUUCAAUAUAUUUGAUUCUUCGUCGAAAAUUGGAUAGAAAAAUGGACAGAGAAAGAUUUUUCGAUACGAGUUAUGAUUUUCUCGAAAAUCGAAAUUGAAAAUAUGGCGGAGCACGAGUGACAUGGAACCAAUCCACGAACGUUCAACAUCGAUUUUCUCAUAAAUGGAGAUUUCUAGACGAUCACGAUCCAGAUCUGUAUAAUGCGAUUCGCCCAGGUUCCGUUGUCUUCUGAUACAUUAUGUAACCUUCGAGAAGAGUUACAGAAUGCUUUCGUUUUCAUGAAUACCGCAUCUAUGAUCAGCAGGCCAAGUUUUUAAGCGGACGCCGUGUUAAUCCUUCGACCUGAUCACCUGAUAUGAAAACUCUUAGUCAUCGUGGGGAACGGAGAAAGAAAGUAAAAGAGAGAGAGAGAGAGAGAGAGAGAUACGCGAGGAAGCAGCCAUGACAAUGAUGCAUCGAGCAGAGGUUUCUUUCGAUCGAUGUUUAUUCAAGGAUACGAUUUGAAAUUCGAAAACCACUAUGGAGAAUAAUUUCCAUUCUCGAAAAAUUAUAUGUAAUAAAAAAAAAAAAAUU